UGGGGAAUAUUGGACAAUGGGCGCAAGCCUGAUCCAGCCAUGCUGCGUGAGUGAUGAAGGCCCUAGGGUUGUAAAGCUCUUUCACCGGUGAAGAUAAUGACGGUAACCGGAGAAGAAGCCCCGGCUAACUUCGUGCCAGCAGCCGCGGUAAUACGAAGGGGGCUAGCGUUGUUCGGAUUUACUGGGCGUAAAGCGCACGUAGGCGGACUUUUAAGUCAGGGGUGAAAUCCCGGGGCUCAACCCCGGAACUGCCUUUGAUACUGGAAGUCUUGAGUAUGGUAGAGGUGAGUGGAAUUCCGAGUGUAGAGGUGAAAUUCGUAGAUAUUCUGAGGACCGCCAGUGGCGAAGGCGGCUCACUGGACCAUUACUGACGCUGAGGUGCGAAAGCGUGGAGAGCAUGCCGG
rnacentral:rRNA from 1 species